rnacentral:misc_RNA from 1 species
AAUUCAGGGACGUGGAACUGUUGCUACUGGCCGUAUUGAACAGGGAACAAUAAAAGUUGGAGAGGAUGUGGAGAUUUUAGGGCUGAUGCAGGGAACCUUAAAAUCUACAGUGACUGGUGUCGAAAUGUUCAAGAAGAUCUUGGAUAAUGGUCAAGCUGGUGAUAAUGUCGGGCUUCUUCUACGUGGCUUGAAACGAGAAGAUAUUACACGAGGAAUGGUAAUUGCAAAGCCUGGUAGUGUGAAAACGUCCAAGAAAUUUGAGGCAGAAAUAUACGUACUAACUAAGGAUGAAGGUGGUCGGCACACUGCUUUUUUCUCAAACUAUAGGCCUCAGUUCUACAUGAGAACUGCUGACAUUACCGGUAAAGUGGAGUUGCCUGAAAAUGUCAAGAUGGUUAUGCCCGGUGAUAAUGUUACAGCUACCUUUGAGCUGAUAUCUCCAGUUCCUCUUGAAACAGGACAAAGAUUUGCCCUGAGAGAGGGUGGCAGAACGGUUGGUGCUGGGGUUGUUUCUAAAGUACUGAGCUGAGGGUUCUGAAAAUGCAAGCUUCAGUUUCAGUCUGGUUUUGUCUCAAGAGGAGCUGACAAAUGAAAAUUCUAUUGCUGCUUGCGGAAAUACAAGACACGUGAUGGUUGCUAAUUUAAUCAUCAUUUGACAUUUUUUUAUAUUGCAAUGCCAAGAGAUGUGUCGUCGUGAAAUUGGAUAUAUUGGAGAAAAUAGUCCACUCUGUAGCAUCUUAUAGUUCAUAAGCAGUCAUUACUUUAAAUAAUGAACUUUUUGGUGUAUGAACUAUGGUCUUUUUUUUCUAGCAUUCAUGAGAAACUCCAUGGUAGAUGCUACGUUAUCA